rnacentral:rRNA from 1 species
GUACACACCGCCCGUCAAGCCACGAAAAUGCGGGGCGUCCGAGGUCGCUGAGCAAACCGCAAGGGAGCAGGCGCCGACGACGAACUGCGUAAUUGGGACUAAGUCGUAACAAGGUUUCCGUAGGUGAACCUGCAGAAGGAUCA